rnacentral:rRNA from 1 species
GUAGGUGGCAAGCGUUGUCCGGAAGUUAUUGGGCGUAAAGCGCGCGCAGGCGGUCCUUUAAGUCUGAUGUGAAAGCCCACGGGCUCAACCGUGAGGGUCAUUGGAAACUGGGGGACCUGAGUACAGAAGAGGAAAGCGGAAUUCCAAGUGUAGCGGUGAAAUGCGUAGAGAUUUGGAGGAACACCAGUGGCGAAGGCGGCUUUCUGGUCUGUAACUGACGCUGAGGCGCGAAAGCGUGGGGAGCAAACAGGAUUAGAUACCCUGGUAGUCCACGCCGUAAACGAUGAGUGCUAAGUGUUAGGGGGUUUCCGCCCCUUAGUGCUGCAGCUAACGCAUUAAGCACUCCGCCUGGGGAGUACGGCCGCAAAGGCUGA